rnacentral:rRNA from 1 species
GUGGGGAAUUUUGGACAAUGGGGGCAACCCUGAUCCAGCGACGCCGCGUGAAGGAUGAAGGUCUUCGGAUUGUAAACUUCUUUUGUUGGGGAUGAAUGAGCGCGUGAAUAACGCGACGUGACAGUACCCGACGAAUAAGCCACGGCUAACUACGUGCCAGCAGCCGCGGUAAUACGUAGGUGGCAAGCGUUACUCGGAAUCACUAGGCGUAAAGCGCAGGUAGGCGGUUCGGUAAGUCUUUUGUGAAAGCUCCCGGCUCAACUGGGAGAGGCCAAGGGAAACUGCCGGGCUAGAGUGUGGUAGGGGAAGCUGGAAUUCCCGGUGUAGCGGUGAAAUGCGUAGAUAUCGGGAGGAAUACCUAUGGCGAAAGCAGGCUUCUGGGCCAUCACUGACGCUGAGCUGCGAAAGCUAGGGGAGCAAACAGGAUUAGAAACCCCUGUAGUCC